rnacentral:sRNA from 1 species
GAGCAGGUCUCCAGGGGAGCGAUGGCAGCCGGUGGUCUGAGUCGCUCCGAGCGCAAAGCGGCUGAGCGGGUCCGGAGGUUGCGGGAGGAGCAGCAGAGGGAGCGCCUCCGCCAGGUACGCCGCCGCCGCUCCCCGGCCCGGCCAUGCCCGGCCCGCGCCGCCGCUCACCGCCUGCCUGCCCGCAGGUGUCGCGCAUCCUGAGGAAGGCGGCGGCGGAGCGCAGCGCCGAGGAGGGCCGGCUGCUGGCCGAGAGCGCGGACCUGGUAACGGAGCUGCAGGGCCGGAGCCGGCGGCGCGAGGGCUUGAAGCGGCGGCAGGAGGAGGUGUGCGACGACCCGGAGGAGCUGCGGGGGAAGGUCCGGGAGCUGGCCAGCGCCGUCCGGAACGCCAAAUACCUGGUCGUCUACACAGGCGCGGGAAUCAGCACGGCAGCGUCUAUCCCAGACUACCGGGGCCCUAAUGGAGUGUGGACACUGCUUCAGAAAGGGAGAAGCGUUAGUGCUGCGGACCUGAGUGAGGCCGAGCCAACCCUCACCCACAUGAGCAUCACCCGUUUGCAUGAGCAGAAACUGGUAAGAGCCCUGGGUGGCUGGUACACUUGCCAGGGACCAGGCAGAGCACCUUGGUGCCUAGUGGGCAGCUGCAUCCUCCCUCUGUCUGCCAGUUGACUCCCAUGAUGAGCACCCACCAAGUGGGUUAGGCCCCGGGUUUGAUCCUCCCAUGCUUGACUCUCCAGGACAGAAGGGGAGCAC